GCAGCGGUGCCAGUGGAAGAGACUUCUGUUGAGUGGGUGCUUCUGCCUUCCUUGUUCUACAGGGUGGCUGGCUGCAGGGGAAUUGUGAUGGCAUGAGGCCCCCCAAGAAUUGCUGGGACCCUGUUAGGAGACGUUGUGCAUACCAUUCCUGUUUGUGUGUCCGUCCUCUCCAGAACCAACAGCGAACUUGGACCGAGGCAUUAGGAACCGUGCAGCUCGAAGACCCAGCUUGCUCCCUCCGCAAAACUUUUAAAAGACCUACUGACAUGGUCAGAAGCCAAAACAGAGACUUGGACUGCUGGAUAAAACCCAAGGGGCCACUCAGGCUCUUGUUUCCCAAUGGAAGCACAUUGGUCUCACAAAGGUUAAGUGACUUCAGUUACUGAAUAGCGAAGUGUGGAUGAGACCCUAGGGGCACACUGCGAGGUAGCCCCCGCCCACGAACUCAUCCCACUCCCACGCAGAUCCUCUCCAGGAGCUCCACCAGAAAAUUCAUUGACUUUUUUAUGAGGACCCGUGGGAGGAAGAAAUGUUUCUCAAGGCUAAGUAGCGAGAAUAACUAUGCUUCUUUGGGACUGUUCUCCAUUUUGUUCGUGGACUCUUGGAACGUGUAAUGGCUGGCUUCCCACUGAUGGUGCCAGCCAGGAAACUCAAGACUCUGGCAGUGAGCAGGAUAAUGAGUCUGAAAUGUAACCGCACCUGGAUUGCCUCAUGUUCCUGUACACCCACAGCCAGAUUUGGGUGGUCAUGAUUUCAUCAUUUAUCAUGGACACUGACUCAUUCCAUGCUGGGGCAAACUAAAUAUUUACUGAAUAAAUCUUCCAAGCUGCUACCAGAAAAUGGGAUGUGUUGGAAGCAAAGAAGCUGUCACAGAAAACAGAGUAACUGCAGCUGAGGAAGAAACUGGAAUCCGUUUCUCUGCACCAAAGCUGACGGCAAAGCCUUCUGGCAUCCUCUGGUUUUGAAGAAACAACUCUAAACUGUGGGGUUUUUUUUUUAUUGUUGUUGUUUGUUUGUUUGUUUGUUUGUUUUUUGUUUUUGUUGUUCUGUUCUAUCUUCUUUUUACUUCAAGGUGGUGGGGGAGCCAGAUGUUACUCUCAACACAUCGUUAAAUAGCCAUCCUUUCCCUUGAGUACCUACCUGAGGUUUGCCAGUAUUCUUACAAAUACCAGCUAAUCUUGGCUCUGACCCUAGAAAGCAUCCAAUGACGGUCAAGAAAAUGGACCUGCCCACCUAUCCACCCACCAAUCCAGUGGAUGGGAACACUGGAACCUGUACAACAAAGACAAGUAGGGAAGAAACUGAAACGAAACUCCAAGGCGCUAAAGCAUCCUACAACUAGGUUGUGAAAAGACACACUAUUCCUUCCACCCCUGGUUUAACCCGGGGAUGGUUCACAGACAAGCAGUCACGGCGCUUUUAUACAUCACAGAUUCCGUUUAUUUCAGAAAAUGUGAGGUCAAUUUUUUUCUGUCUGACUCUAUUGGCUAUUCCCUUUCAUGCCUUCAGAUGUACUCCGGUGCUGAUUUCUAUCAUCAAGUUCUUUGAUCUUCAACGGUAAAGUCUACUUCCUUUAGGGCCGUUGGAAUAACUGUGCAUCAGAAACAAUGACAGCCGGGGCUAUAGCUGUGGACAUACUGAGCUUCUCUAGUCAAUACUGCUAACAGAGGUAAAAAUAAAGGAAUUGUGAAAGACACAUUUAAAAUAUCCUACCGAAAUGGAGGAGCUAGAGAAAGUACCCAAGGAGCUAAAGGGAUCUGCAACCCUAUAGGUGGAUCAACAUUAUGAACU